CCUACGGAUGGCAGCAGUGAGGAAUAUUGGUCAAUGGGCGCGAGCCUGAACCAGCCAAGUAGCGUGAAGGAUGACUGCCCUACGGGUUGUAAACUUCUUUUAUAAAGGAAUAAAGUGAGGCACGUGUGCCUUUUUGUAUGUACUUUAUGAAUAAGGAUCGGCUAACUCCGUGCCAGCAGCCGCGGUAAUACGGAGGAUCCUAGCGUUAUCCGGAGUGAUUGGGUUUAAAGGGAGCGGAGAUGGGUUGUUAAGUCAGUUGUGAAAGUUUGCGGCUCAACCGUAAAAUUGCAAUUGAUACUGGCAGCCUUGAGUACAGUUGAGGUAGGCGGAAUUCGUGGUGUAGCGGUGAAAUGCUUAGAUAUCACGAAGAACUCCGAUUGCGAAGGCAGCUUACUAAACUGCCACUGACAUUGAUGCUCGAAAGUGUGGGUAUCGAACAGGAUUAGAUACCCGGGUAG
rnacentral:rRNA from 1 species